UCUUCAAUUCACGUACUCUCUCACCGGUCAGAGUGACGAGAGAGUGUGUGAAAUGAAGAGA
rnacentral:pre_miRNA from 1 species